GACCAUCCUGGCUAACAUGGCGAAACCCCGUCUCUACUAAAAAAUACAAAAAACUAGCCGGGCGAGGUGGCGGGCGCCUGUAGUCCCAGCUACUCGGAGGCUGAGGCAAGGGAAUGGCAUGAACUCGGGAGGCGGAGCUUGCAGUGAGCUGAGAUCUGGCCACUGCACUCCAGCCUGGGCCACAGAGUGAGACUCUGUCUCAAAAAAAAAAAAAAAUUAACAAGCACACCUAGAAUGACACCCCAAGCCAUGCAACUCCUGGUCCCACACACACAGGGUAUGUGACCAGGAGAGUGAGGUAGAGAGAGUGGGCAUGAAGGAGGGGCAGAGCAGGGGAGAAAGGGUGCUUGGUGAUGACAGCCUGGUCCUGCUGCCAGCUCUUGGUGGUACACAUCUCAUAUUGGAAAAGAGUCGCCAGUCUGACCUUGUGUCCAGGAUCAUUAUCUGUACUUUCUUGAGAGAAUGCAGACUCCAUGUCUGCACCAGGACUUUUGCAUUCUUGAGUGGCUGGUCUGGUUCCAGGGGCCAGAGUCACAGUCACAGCUGCCUAUAGAAGGGAAUUUCCUGCAACCAGACCAGACCCAGACAUGGUUUUGUUGUGGCCUGCACUGUGGGGUCUGUUGCACAGACAGCCAUUAUGCUCUGAGCAAAUUGGUUCCUGUGGGGCCCAACAUAUUUAAUGUCCAUGACUUCACAAAGGGGUGCCAGGUACCCUUGCACAGCAAGAAGUGAGAAUAGUGCAAGGAGGCCACAACAGAAACUGGUAGGAAUACACACAUGGAAGCAAUUCUUAACUACAUUGUAAUCAGUAAAUGAAGAUAACUGUGAUAUUCUCAUUAGGGUACUUCUUAGCUGAAACAAAACUAGCUUUGUCAAGCUGGGUGUGGUGGCUCACACCUGUAAUCCCAGCACUUUGGGGAGGCUGAGGCAGGAGGACGGCUUGAGCCCAGGAGUUUGAGACCAGCCUGGGCAACAUAGUGAGACCCAUCUCUACCAAAAAAAAAAAAAAAAAACUGGCUUUAUAUGUGUCUUGGUGAAGUAGCAACUGGCUUUUAUGAUCCACCUACCCCCACACCCCAUGUCUAAAAAGGCACAUGACUCUGCUACAGCCUCAAAAGUACCUGAUCUCAGUCUAAUGUUGAAAAGAGCUCAUUCUGCCAGGCGCGGUGGCUCACGCCUGUAAUCCCAGCACUUUGGGAAGCUGAGGCAGGCAGAUCAUGACCAUCCUGGCUAACAUGGUGAAACACCGUCUCUACUAAAAAAAUAAAAAAAUUAGCCAGGCGUGGUGGUGGGCACCUGUACUCCCAGCUACUCGGGAGGCUAAGGCAGGAGAAUGGCGUCAACCCUGAGAGGCGGAGCUUGCAGUGAGCUGAGAUUGUGCCACUGCACUCCAGCCUGGGCGACAGAGCGAGACUCCAUCUCAAAAAAAAAAAAAA
rnacentral:lncRNA from 1 species